rnacentral:snoRNA from 1 species
AUACCUUUCUCGGCCUUUUGGUUAAGAUCAAGUGUAGUAUCUGUUCUUAUCAGUUUAAUAUCUGAUAUAUGAGGUAUACCCUUACAAUAAUAUUAAAUUUAUUUUUUAUGAGGGAGGGUCCACCAUAA